rnacentral:rRNA from 1 species
GACGAACGCUGGCGGCGUGCCUAAUACAUGCAAGUAGAACGCUGAAGAGAGGAGCUUGCUCUUCUUGGAUGAGUUGCGAACGGGUGAGUAACGCGUAGGUAACCUGCCUUGUAGCGGGGGUUAACUAUUGGAAACGAUAGCUAAUACCGCAUAACAAUGGAUGACACAUGUCAUUUAUUUGAAAGGGGCAAUUGUUCCACUACAAGAUGGACCUGCGUUGUAUUAGCUAGUAGGUGAGGUAAUGGCUCACCUAGGCGACGAUACAUAGCCGACCUGAGAGGGUGAUCGGCCACACUGGGACUGAGACACGGCCCAGACUCCUACGGGAGGCAGCAGUAGGGAAUCUUCGGCAAUAGGGGCAACCCUGACCGAGCAACGCCGCGUGAGUGAAGAAGGUUUUCGGAUCGUAAAGCUCUGUUGUAAGUCAAGAACGGGUGUGAGAGUGGAAAGUUCGCACUGUGACGGUAGCUUACCAGAAAGGGACGGCUAACUACGUG